CACAUUACUUUUACGAUUUAUUCAAUUUCAAUUUUUUCUCUAGGCAGCCAGAUUUAUUUAAAACCGUAAAGAAAAAGAAAAAAAAAAAGAAAAGAAAAAGAAAACCUUCUUUAAUCGGUGAGAGAUAGAUCGUGAAGCUAUAAUUCCGUCAGCCACGUGUGCGAUGUUGAUAGUAAACACAUCUCAGCUGAGGAAAUUGUCUAACUCGGUGGAACUUUGUGCCUAUCUUUAUCACAUUACCACAUGAUCAGGACCACGCCAUCCUUGCGCCAAUCAACCAACCAACAAACCAUCCUUUCUAGUUCUUUAAUCGGUGAGAGAUAGAUCGUGAAGUAAUAGGCUUAAAAUCGUACAAGAAAAAAAACACAUUGAAAUUGAAUUUGAUCAAAGCAAGGGUGAGGAAGGAAAAAAAAAAGAAAAGAAAAAGAAAACCUUCUUUAAUCUUCUGCGUCGUAGGAGUGUGUUUAAUCGGUGAAAAGGUUUUUAUUCGGUGCGAGAGAGGUUGAGAGGUUGAAUCGGUGGAGAAAAUUCGAGAUGAACCCAUUAAUCGGUUCGAAUAUAAGAAUGAUCGGCGGAAAAGAUGUUUCUGAGAAGCCGGAUGCAAAGAGAAAUAUGAAACAAAACGAUGAAUCUACGAGAAGGAUAGGUGUGCCG
rnacentral:lncRNA from 1 species